UACGGGGGGGGUAAGCGUUGCUCGGAAUCACUGGGCGUAAAGCGCACGUAGGCGGAUCUUUAAGUCAGGGGUGAAAUCCCAAGGCUCAACCUUGGAACUGCCUUUGAUACUGGGGAUCUCGAGUCCGGAAGAGGUGAGUGGAACUGCGAGUGUAGAGGUGAAAUUCGUAGAUAUUCGCAAGAACACCAGUGGCGAAGGCGGAUCUCUGGGCCAUUACUGACGCUGAGGAGCGAAAGCGUGGGGAGCGAACAGG
rnacentral:rRNA from 1 species